GACGAACGCUGGCGGCGUGCUUAACACAUGCAAGUCGAACGGAAAGGCCCUGCUUUUGUGGGGUGCUCGAGUGGCGAACGGGUGAGUAACACGUGAGUAACCUACCCUUGACUUUGGGAUAACUUCAGGAAACUGGGGCUAAUACCGGAUAGGAGCUCCUGCUGCAUGGUGGGGGGUGGAAAGUUUCGGCGGUUGGGGAUGGACUCGCGGCUUAUCAGCUUGUUGGUGGGGUAGUGGCUUACCAAGGCUUUGACGGGUAGCCGGCCUGAGAGGGUGACCGGCCACAUUGGGACUGAGAUACGGCCCAGACUCCUACGGGAGGCAGCAGUGGGGAAUAUUGCACAAUGGGCGGAAGCCUGAUGCAGCAACGCCGCGUGCGGGAUGACGGCCUUCGGGUUGUAAACCGCUUUCGCCUGUGACGAAGCGUGAGUGACGGUAAUGGGUAAAGAAGCACCGGCUAACUACGUG
rnacentral:rRNA from 1 species